UGAAGGUCGAACAAGUAUACUCAAUAUUCAAGCAUUGGGACUAACUACCCCAAAACAAUGGGAAACCACCUCCAUGUACCACUGAUAACGCGAAAAUGCGAGCCGGAUACAAUGUAUCCGACUGAACAACUCGCCAGUGAGUUUUUAUACGCCGUACGUAGUACCUACCUACUUGUUGCAAGUAAAAAUCCGCUCCGUUUUUUUUUGCCAAGUUUCACUUGGAAAAUUUUUAAGUAUUCCAUAGUGCAAAAUUGUCCGAAUUUUUCGUUCAAUAAGUGUUGGAUACGUCAAAUUAAUUAAUUGUGGCGUUCAAUCUGAUUAUUAAAGCGUUAAUCGCGAAAAAACGUGCAGAACGCGUCGUGAAAAAACAAUAGCCAGUUGUUACAGUUUUCGUGCUGGAAUUUGGCUAUCUGUGUGGUGUAUCAUCCGUCGAAAAAGCGUGCCACGUGCAGAGUCGUACUACGGAAAACUAAUCGAUAAAAGCGGUCAAAUAUUUCGUGUAUCGAAAUCGUCGAAUCAAUAAAAGUGUUCGUUAUCGAUCGGUCACCGGUCAAAUAAAAAUACCAAAGCGGUACCAACGUUCCCUGGAAAAACACCAGCGUAAAUUUCGACGAACAAGCCGUCUACGAAUCAAAAGGUUCAAAGUAUUGGCGAACCGCAAAGCGAAAAAUUCAACGAGUACUGUCCAGCAAUACGAAAUCGAACCUGCGGGAAAAAUUAUACGUGUAAAAGCGAAAAAAUAUCGUCGUAAAUAAAAAGGUGAAAAAAAUUAGAAAAACCAGAGUAAAAGAUGAGACAAAAAUGUCCAUCAUGAAGAGUGAAAAAAAAGAGCUACAGUUGUAGCAAGAAGACUUACCAGCAUCCAGACAUCGUCAGAAGAGUACCGUCGAGAAAAUCGACGUGGAAAAACGGCCAUCGCUAUAAUUUUAAGUAUUAAAAACCCAAAUUUGGGAAAUAAAUUCAAAAUUUCAACCAUUAUUUUUAUUUUUCCUCGUGUUUACAAACACAGAGUGAUGUUGUUGUUGUUCGUUCGGCCCAGAAGUGCCAACCUCUGCAGGGAUCGCGGAGCGGAGCGGAGGUGGAGGCCCGGAGGCCCCCGGAGGGUACCCUUUUUUUGCCUUGCUCCGGGAGCAGGAGCCGGAGCAAGAGGUACUUGAAAUUUUUUUACUGGAGCCGGAGGUGGAGGCGGAGGCACUUACAAAGAAAACCGGAGCUGGAGCUGGAGCCGGAGGUAUUUUUUUUCAAAUAGCCGGAGGGGAAGGCUCAAAACCCCCCCUCCUUGACCUCCGGAGGCGGAGCUGGAGGGCAGGAGCCCCCCGGAGGGUACCCUUUUUUGGGCCUUGCUCCGGGAGCCGGAGCCGGAGCAAGAGGUACUUGCAAUUUUUCAAGUGGAGCCGGAGGUGGAGGUGGAGGUACUCAUGAAAAAUCUCCGGAGCUGGAGCCGGAGCCGGAGGUACUUUUUUAAAAAUUUUGGGAGCCGGAGCUGGAGGUGGAGGCACUAGACCCCCCCCCCUCCGCGAUCCCUGAACCUCUGUUCAAAAUUUAUUACAAGUCGCUACUACAGCGCGCUCUAUUGUUACAUUUUUAAACUAUUUUAGACAAAAUUUUGUUUUUUUUAAUUAUAAGGCGUUUUUGCCAGUUUUUAUUGUUUUAAACUUAGUUUUAAGAAAACUUAUUAUUAUAUAGUGAACUUAGAGUUAAUUAGGGGGUUCUUUGAACCAAGUCUUUUAAAAUUUUCGGUCCUUGGUUGGAAAAAAUUGGUCUAGGGAAGCGCGAAACGAUCUACUCGUAAAAUUCGACCGUUGGUCUUAUUUGAAAAGUAGGCUCGGUGGCACCCCCCCUUCCCCCGCUAGUCGCUGCCGUGCCUGUUCAAGGUGACCCCUUGGACGGCCCGGGGGGCAAUGUAGUGGGUAGGGGGUGUGCAGCGUUCUGCCGCGUACUAUGUCAGUGCGCUACUCGCAGAUAAGUUGUGCGCCCAAGGUCUAUAAGUACUAGAAGCUAGCCACGGUAAAGUUGCCCAAGUUGGCUCAUUGUUAUUUGAUGUUGCUUCCUCCACUUCUAACAUAGAAAUAUACUCACUGUUAGAUGAUAAAGGAAAUCAAGGUCUUUAACGUGGCGAAGCUUACUGAAUAAUCGUACGCGAUUAGUUAUUUAAUUAUAAUUAGUAGGCUGAUUAUUCAUGGGAUUUGUAAUUGCUUAUUGUGUAAUAAAGAUUUCUGUACCCGACCCUGAGAGUAUUCAUUGUGUUCUAGAAAGGUAUUACUGAGUAUUAAACACUAUAGAGUGCUCGUGUGUGGUACCGCUGGUACCCACUUCAAAAAGCUGAUACUGCUGAUAGCCAAAAGCCAAUCGAUGAUUGGCUGGAAAUCCCUGCUUAAUGAUUUUCGCCGAUUACAGCGUUAGGGUGCAUUUUCGACUUACGAGGUUUUUAUAUUCAGAUUCCUCGUUUUUUUUUUACUAAAGAAACCACUAAGAAAGCAUUUUUGAAAAACCUGGACUUAGAAAUAUAAAUAAUAUUUAAAAUGUCGGAUACUUCUGCUUGGAAAUAUGCAUAUGACCAAAUGCUUGUUUCGUAUACUGAAGCCUGCAGAGCGAAAAUUAAUGCAGAAAUGAAGUUGAAAGAGAUCCAAGAAAAGUAUAAUAAAGUAUACGGCGUCGAAGUUGUUCGCAGUAAGAUAGAGGACAGAGAGAUGUAUUGGUGUGAUCUAAAUUUCAAGGAAGAUCGAUCGUCAUUCGCCGGUACGGUACAAUGUCGUGAUUUCCUGGAUCGGCGAACGGUGGUGAUUGAUCAUCGGCGAUAUGGCGCGAGUCGUGAGCGGAUAAUAUCGUUGUAAUUGUACGUCAUCGUGAUAUCAUUGUAAUUAUCUAUCAUACUACGGACAUUGUGGUCCCAAUUUCAGUAGCUAAACUCGUACUGGGACAGGGUUUGCAUUAAUAAAUUAUAAUAAUAAUAGAAUACAUACGACGGUAUGUGUUUUAAACUUAAGGGGAUUAGUACAUAUAAGCAUCAUGCAUUGGUUGUUAAUUUUUAUAACGAUAAAACUAAUCCUAUGAAUAUAAUUAUAAGACUAUCAAGUUA